UUGUAGUCUGGCCUGGAUUCCAGUUCUGGUCCAUUGAGAUGUGAUAAGUGAGCCUCUAUCACUGUGAGCCUCCUUUGCUGAACACUAUUCCCACCAGGAGAGGCUGCAUCUCCUCACUGUGAGACAAUACAUCUCUCCUCCUCAAAGUCGUUCCUUGUCAGGUAUUCAGUCACAUCAACAAGAAAGCCUUCUGUCAUUGGUUUGAGAGUGAUCAUGAGACCCAAGUUUACAUCAUGGAACAGAAGUUUCUGGGUUUUUGAGACAGAAUCUCAUGCUAUAUAUAGUUCUGGCUGGCUCAGCACUUGCAAUGUAGACCAGGCUAGACUUGAACUCGCAGAGACCAGCCUGCCUCUGUUUUCUAAGUGCUGGAAU